GGUCUCAUAGUUCAAGGGAUAGAACGGAAGUUUCCUAAACUUUAAAUGCAGGUUCGAGUCCUGCUGGGACCACAA
rnacentral:tRNA from 3 species